UUUGGAAAUGUUUGUCAGAGUGGGAUGCUUGAAAUUCUAAUCUGAGCACGGUUGGAAUAGUUUGAGAAAAAACGAAGGCCAUGACCUUGGCAGUUGGGUGGCCGGAGUAGAAUUGGCUGGUGGUAGAAGAUGGCGGGUGCGGAUGGAUAACGUGGAGACCUGGAAUUCUGGUGACGACAGAGCUGCGAGGCAUAAUGGGCUCUAUUUGAAAGUUGUCUGGGCAUAGGUGAAUAAUCAGGCCGUAGUCCUGAGUACUCAUUAAGAAGGUGUGAGGCCACUGAGUGACUGUUUUCUUCUCGGGGAAGGAUCUCAAGACAAACAGCGCAAGGGACAGCCUGACUGUAAGAGGGAGGUCUGAUCUCAUCAGCAGCCCUGCAGGUCCCAGACCACUUCUGGGAGCUCCACUGCCUAACAGAGUCCCUGCCUUUAGAUGGUGAAGCAGUAGAAUAUUAUCUGCAUUCUAGAAUAACUUCCUGAGACCACUUCCAGAGUAGCAUCUGCUGAUGGAAGUGGAAUGCUAUUCUGAUAGCUGAGCACCACCAACAAUAGUUUUAUGUCUUCCUAUGAAGAUUCUCAGCCAAGAAUGGUGCAAGACCAUACAAAUCACCUUGUCAUCUCUCCUCUUCAGUCUUCCUUACAGGUCUCACCGUGUCAUCCUGGCUGAAGUGCAGUGGCGUGAUCAUGGCUCAUUGCAACCUCGAACUCUUGGACUCAAGCAGUCUUCCCACCUUGGCCUCCUACAUAGCUAGGACUACAAGUGCAGACCAUCAUGCCUGGCUUUUUUUAUUUUUAUUUUUGCAGCGAUGGGGUCUUGCUAUGUUGCUGAGGCUUAACUCAAACUCCUAGUCUCAAGCAUUUCUCUCACACUGGCCUCCCAAAGUGCUAGGAUUACAGGUGUGAACCACCAUGACCAGCCUAAAACUUCUAAUAUAAUGAAAAGAGUUUAUAUAAAAUAAGUGGGUGUAUUAGACAAAUACUUAACAUAAAAUAAAAGCAAUAUAAACAAAUAUUAAAACUCA
rnacentral:lncRNA from 13 species